CAGUAAACAUUGAUCCAGUGCUGGGAGAGGAGACGCCGUAUGAAGUUCCUCUCUGGAUCAUCAUUGUUGCAGCGGUUGCAGGGAUACUGUUAUUAGGCAUCAUCAGUCUCAUUCUGUGGAAGUGCGGUUUCUUCCGACGGGCCAGCAGGAGGGAGAUGUAUGAGGCCAAAUCCCAGAAAGCAGAAAUAAAGAUCCAGCCCUCUGAGACAGAGAGGCUGACGGAGGAAUACUGAGCCUACGCUAUGGCAGCACUGUUAGGGCCCUUCGUGCGGUUUCUUCAAAAGGACCGUUUACUACAGGAUAAUGCCAAAGUACCAUGGAGUGAAAGUACGCAAAGAGGAACGCUAUAACUUGGCCUUUCAGCCCGAGCAAGAACUGAGCAAGAAACUCUGGGUCACCAACUGGACAGAAAUGCAUGAAUAUUACUACUGACCUCUUCACCUCUCUCCGUCCAGAGCCUGGGGAGCGUGAUGAUUGGAGGAUGUCUUUUAUUAACCCCGUCUCAACUCAGCAGACACUGGCGUUUGGAGCCGCCAAUCACGCAGUGAGAACGUUUCGAAAUGUUUGUUGGUCUGUGUGCAAUAUCGUGGUUUGUAGACCAUUAAACCGCUUUCAACGAAGCCAGAGUAUUGUCUGGGACGUCCUUGACUUAGUAAUGAGCAACUGAUUUAUUUUCCUAGUUUGAAAUCUUUAAAUCUUGCUUUGUGUGUUUCAUUGCAUUUUAAAUUUCAUUCCAUUGUAAUAUUUUUUUAAUGUCACUAUAAUAGUUCCCCUUUCCAGAGCCUUGGGUCAUUUUACUCAUUGAGAUAAGGAGAUCUUUCCCAUCAUGCUAUAACUGAUUUGAAACCAGUUCUGAUCAAACAGCACUGAGGAAAUACUCGAUUUUCAAGUUCCAGUUGCUUUGUCUUUGGACGCUUAUUUUGUAACACUGCAUAAGAACUGCUCCAUUUUUUUUCCAGCUACUUCCUCCCAUGGAGGAAGACUACAGUGUUUAAGUGUAUAAAAUGUUUGCCCAAACCAUCAUGUUCCUGUCAGCAUUAGUUGGGUGAAUCUCUCUCGCUCUCU